AAAAACCCUAAACAAAAACCCCAAAACCACAGAGACGCAGUAGUGAGUAGUAAAACAGCAAUGGGGAAGAAGAAGAGCGAGAAGAUAAUUCUGCCACCGGAGCUUCAGCCGGAGAUACCUGACGAAGAAGUCGAAGUCUCCGACGACGACUUACAGUUCGUCCAACACAAUCGCCAAUACGCUCUCAGAUUUUCCCGCCUCGACACCCAAUCUAUCACCAAGCAUACCUGCAGUGGUUGAUAAUGUUAGAAAAGAAGUCUUCAUUUCAGCAUGUUGCUAUUCACUGUAUCUGUACUUUGCUUGAUGCAGUUCCACACUUUAACUUCCAGGAGAGCUUGCUAGGUGUUAUUGUCAGAAAUAUAGGUUCCUCAGAUGAUGUGAUAAGGAAACUCUGCUGUGCUACAGCUAAGUCACUUUUGCUGUGAGAUCGUUUUCUCCUUGGGAUGCAACGCAUUUCAUCCUAGAAAAAUUGUCUCUUAAAAGCCUUUGGAAUGAGAAGGAUGCCGAUGGAAACACAGUUCUGCAUCACCAUUCUAAUUCUUCAAAGCUCAUACCUCAAGUCAUGAAUGACCUGAGAGUAGAUAAGAUGGCCUUCAUCAGACAAAACCUCGAUGCUUUCGACGUCACUUUAACUAGUGAAGAAAUAGGAAUUGGGAAGUUUUUAUACCUUCGGAAGAUUACAUUUGUGAACUUGUGUCAAUCAAAGCGUGUAUUUCGGAGAGUCGUCAAGGUUAAAGGCAAGAACAAGAUUGUGAAAACAGUUGAUAUCAUCGAAGAAAAAUUUAUGUCUAAGGUGGAGAAAGCAGCCAAAGCCCAUUUAGUAGUGGCCGCACUCAUUGCGAAUGCAUGUGACCUUUGCAGCAGGUAUGACCGUGCCUGGAGGUUUUGUAUCUGGCCAAGACGCUGAUGCCGGCUCUGCAAUUCUGAGAACAAAUGUUGCGUUCAAAGCAUUCAUUAUUUCAAAUAGUAUAGCGUUCAAACCAAUAGAUACUCUCCUUUUUUCGGUGGCACUCUUUUUUGUUGGCCUUUAACCUAACCGUCCUUGCCCUAAUAGCAAUGAUGCUGGCCUUUUUCACGGGCAUAUUUUGUGUGUUAGGGAUUCACUCUAGUUUUCAACAUUCCCCAAUCAAAUAUAAUAUUCUUCUGAUUCCCAAAAGUCUUCUUAUUCCCACUCUUAUAACCUUCUGCCUCCCCAUAUUAUUCAUACCAGGAUUAGCGUCCUCUUUAAAGUUCCAUAUUUUACUUUUUCAUCUGAUGCCAAAGGACGCUAUUUAUAUGGCCUCAAAGAAGAGUGACACUUUUUUAGAAGUUUUGCUAAGGUCCGAUUAAUAAAAAAAUGACGAAAG